UACGGAGGGUGCAAGCGUUAUCCGGAAUCAUUGGGUUUAAAGGGUCCGUAGGCGGGCUAUUAAGUCAGGGGUGAAAGUUUGUGGCUCAACCAUAAAAUUGACCUUGAUACUGGUAGUCUUGAGUUAUUGUGAAGUGGUUAGAAUAUGUAGUGUAGCGGUGAAAUGCAUAGAUAUUACAUAGAAUACCGAUUGCGAAGGCAGAUCACUAACAAUCGACUGACGCUGAUGGACGAAAGCGUGGGUAGCAAACAGG
rnacentral:rRNA from 1 species